GUUACUUGUUUUAUUUUCAUUCUCAAACUUCUGAUCUAUGAAGCAAAUGAUUUUUGUUUGUUUUCUUAGUACAAGCGGUAUUUUAACGUAAUCUACAAUAAAAGAGGGGAAGACUUUGAAGUGACCAGUUUUCGUUUCUCAUUUUGCCUUCUUCCUGGGAAAGAAAAAGAAAUUAUAUGUAUAAACCAAAUAAUUAAAGGGAAAGAAGAAGGAACUUUAACAAAUAAAACUCUCGGUACUAUUUACUUUAACGAAAAAUUACAUUUUUACAAUAAAAAGUCAAUCAUGAUCCUAUUUACUUUAUCCUUUAUUUUGUCCUUAUAGUUAAAACUCAAAAUUUUCAAGCCAUUUCAGAAAUCUUCCAUUCACCUUCUGAUCCUCACCGAUCUUGCGGUGUACAUGUAUAGCCUCAGAAACUCAGCCACGACCAUAAACACAGGAUUGAAAAAGCAUGCAGGAAAUACAAAAAGUUGAGCGAUUAAAUAAAAUUAUUUACAGACGACACAGAUUAGGAUUGACGGGGAAGUGUGGAACCAGAAUUGACACCACCGGAGAUUCAGAAUUCAGUGGCUGCCUCAGGCUGCUCGCCGUGUCACCUCCUGCUGCUGUUGCUGCUGCUGAUCCUUCGACACAGACACGAGAACGAUGAUGAAGGCAGCAACAGAUGAAAGACAAAAACCCCAUGAUAUCCUCCUGAUGGACCUGACCUCUCUCUCUCUCUCUCUACAAAUUUUUAACAUUCAAUUUGAGUGUUGCAAAUAGCAAUAGGAUCAUCAUUUUAACAAGGUGACUUUUGACUUUGUUGGCCUUUUCCAUUUUCACUAAUCAAUGCUAGACUGUGAGUCGCAAGUAAAUAUUACCCUCCCUUUCUGGUUCCAUUUACAAAUGCACCACUUUAAUCCUAUCCUUAGAAAAUGAAAAGCUAAUAAAAACACUCAAAAUUGGGCCAUCUUAAUAUUAUGGACAACAAAAUUUAGUUAAUCGACGGCCUGGAUUAAUUUGAAGGAUUUUUUUUUUUAAAAAUACAAAUUUUUUAAACCACACACUUAACAAACUUAUAAAGUUCAACCAUCUUUUUCGUUCGUCUUUUAUUUAAUUAUGCUUGUAUGUGAUGCUAUGCUUUGAUUUGUAUUUAAAGUUAAAUUAUCGGAAUUAAAUACGGAGUUUUACUUUUAAAAUACAAACAUACUAACUACGCAAUUACAAGGCAUAAAACAUAAAAAUAUAUAUUUGUUAAUAGCCUUUGCCCUUGCGGUUACCCUUCAUUUUGCUUAAACGGAUGGACUUGCACAAAGACAAUUGCAGUUUAGAGUGAAUAGUAAAGAUAAUUUCACCGACCUUACUUUUGCCUUGCUCUUGCUUAAAACGGGUGGAGAUGCCUUGAUGACAAAGCAAAAGAGAUAUCGAGGAGUAAAAGGAAACAACAACAUUCCACAAUAAAAAAAACAGUGCCAAAUGUCAUCCACUUUCAGAAAUAGUGCAAAUAAUUGUAACUUUUCGUUUUGUUGAAGUAAAAUUCACAUUUACAUCUUCACGAAAUAUAAAAUGUGACCAGCAUAUGAUUUUUACAUUUUAAAUUUGCAGCUCGCAUGCGAAAUGCUCUAAGGAGGAACUUCGUCAUAAACACAGUAAUUUUGUGGAGUCGAGCAAAAUUUUUUUAUCUAGUGUUAAACUCAAAGAACACGUUGUAUAAAGUUUAUCCAAAGGAGUGCGAAAAGACGACGAGCAAAAGGUUGGGAAUAUAUCUAACAUCCAAUACUAGUUGCAAUGUUUUGUAAUUCGGUACUUAGCAAGUUUGUUCUUUAAAAAUAAAAUUUUGUAUUUAGCUCCGAUAAUUUAACUUUAAAUAUAAACCAAAGCAUAGCAUCACAAACAAGCAGUUAUAAAAAAAAAAACAAUUACCACGUGGCAGAAACCCAUUGCCACACCCAAAUUUCUUGGGCCAUUAUUGGCCGUUGAUUGAGUAGACAAGUGAUGGGAGGACAGAAGAAACUCAAAGUUCGAGGGUUCCAGAAACUCCGACGAUGGCAGGGAUUGGCUCUUGCUGUACAACUCUAUCCUCCACAACUUUGGCUGUAUUUCUGGAGAUGUAAUCUUCCUCUUAGCUGAUGUCCAGUUUUAUGUUUCUGGACCUUUGGAUGGACGUCUUGAAUAAAUUUUCCAUUUCGUACUGUUGGAUUGUUGUUAGUAAUUAAGUUGCAAAAACAUAUUGUUUUAUACGAGAGUUUUUCAAAAUUUAUGACACGUUUUGAUUCCGGUUCUUGUGAGUUAGUAAAAAUCGCAACUAGAAUAAAACAUGUUCUCUUUCUGAUUCGAAGCAUUUAGCAAAUAUCUCGACGCAAUUCCUUGGGUUGAUUCUCUUAUAUUUGUCAAGGAAAUAAACUCAUGAUUUUUAUUAAAUCCCUUUUAAUUUGCUAAACAGGUGUGUCUAUUUCUAUGUGCAAAAUAAACAGAUUAUAGAAUGUGAGAUAUGGAUUCGUAUCCAUUGUCUAUAGAAAAAAAGUGCGAAUGCAACAUUGUUUAUAUUCUCGAAUGCUAUUUAGACAUACAAAAUUGACGACAUUGAUAUGACAUUCUAACACAGGCUAAACAACAUUAGUCGUUUCAUUUCCAUUCUUAAACUUCUGCUCUAUGAACCAAAUGAUUUUUGUCUUUAUUUUUAGUAGAAAUGGUAUUUUACAGUAAUCUACAAUAAAAGGAGGGGAAAGGUUUGAAUCUAGAACAAUGUGAGUUGAAAAUGAAGAUCCUAACUAUCAGGAACCAGUUUUCGUUUCUCAUUUUUGCCUUCUUCCUGGGAAUGACAGUGAAAUUAAACAUAUAUACCCAAUAUUUAAAGGGAAAGAAAGAAUCUUCCAUUCAUCUUCUGAUCCUCACCCAUCUUACGGUGUACACCUAUAGCCUCAGAAACUCAGCCACCACCUUACACACAGGAUCCAAAAAGGAAAAACAAAAAGUUGACCUAUUAAAUAAAAUAAUUUACAAACGAGAGAUAUUAGGGUUGACGGGGAAAUGCGGAACCACAAUUGGCACUACCGGAGAUUCAGUGUUCAGAGGCUGGCUGCUGCUCACUGUGCUACCUCCUCCUCCUCCUCCUGCAGCUGCUGCUGGCCCUUCGCCGCAGACACGAGAACCAUGAUGAAGGCAGCAACAGAUGAAUGACAAAAAUCCCAUGAUAUCCCCCUGAUGGACCUGAUCUCUCUUGAUUCUCUCUCUGUAGAAAUUUUAUACAUGUAAUCUGAGUGUGCAAAUAGCAAUAAGAUCAUCAUUUUAACGUAAUAUAUAGAUAAUAUGUUGCGUUAAUAACAAGGUAACUAUUUUUAAUUACCACAGGGUGCACCAAUGGCUGGGGUAAAUUUUAGGUUUGUAUUUCACACGACACAUCUUGAAUUUGAAUAUUAGUAUUGGUGAAUCGUACGAUGAUGGCCAAAAGGAUGUUAAAAUGUAUCUAUUAAUCUUUUCGGCUUCUGAAAAAGUAGACUGUCAUAAAAAAAUCAC
rnacentral:lncRNA from 1 species